rnacentral:rRNA from 1 species
GAUGAACGCUGGCGGCGUGCCUAAUACAUGCAAGUCGAGCGAACAGAUAAGGAGCUUGCUCCUUUGACGUUAGCGGCGGACGGGUGAGUAACACGUGGGUAACCUACCUAUAAGACUGGGAUAACUUCGGGAAACCGGAGCUAAUACCGGAUAACAUUUGGAACCGCAUGGUUCUAAAGUGAAAGAUGGUUUUGCUAUCACUUAUAGAUGGACCCGCGCCGUAUUAGCUAGUUGGUAAGGUAACGGCUUACCAAGGCAACGAUACGUAGCCGACCUGAGAGGGUGAUCGGCCACACGGGAACUGAGACACGGUCCAGACUCCUACGGGAGGCAGCAGUAGGGAAUCUUCCGCAAUGGGCGAAAGCCUGACGGAGCAACGCCGCGUGAGUGAUGAAGGGUUUCGGCUCGUAAAACUCUGUUAUUAGGGAAGAACAAAUGUGUAAGUAACUGUGCACGUCUUGACGGUACCUAAUCAGAAAGCCACGGCUAACUACGUG